rnacentral:rRNA from 1 species
AGUGAACGCUGGCGGUAGGCCUAACACAUGCAAGUCGAACGGCAGCACAGUAAGAGCUUGCUCUUACGGGUGGCGAGUGGCGGACGGGUGAGGAAUACAUCGGAAUCUACUUUUUCGUGGGGGAUAACGUAGGGAAACUUACGCUAAUACCGCAUACGACCUACGGGUGAAAGCAGGGGAUCUUCGGACCUUGCGCGAUUGAAUGAGCCGAUGUCGGAUUAGCUAGUUGGCGGGGUAAAGGCCCACCAAGGCGACGAUCCGUAGCUGGUCUGAGAGGAUGAUCAGCCACACUGGAACUGAGACACGGUCCAGACUCCUACGGGAGGCAGCAGUGGGGAAUAUUGGACAAUGGGCGCAAGCCUGAUCCAGCCAUACCGCGUGGGUGAAGAAGGCCUUCGGGUUGUAAAGCCCUUUUGUUGGGAAAGAAAGGCAGCGGGUUAAUACCCCGCUGUUCUGACGGUACCCAAAGAAUAAGCACCGGCUAACUUCGUG